rnacentral:rRNA from 1 species
UACGUAGGGUGCGAGCGUUAAUCGGAAUUACUGGGCGUAAAGCGUGCGCAGGCGGUUAUAUAAGACAGAGGUGAAAUCCCCGGGCUCAACCUGGGAACUGCCUUUGUGACUGUAUAGCUUGAGUGCGGCAGAGGGGGAUGGAAUUCCGCGUGUAGCAGUGAAAUGCGUAGAGAUGCGGAGGAACACCGAUGGCGAAGGCAGCCCCCUGGGCCGACACUGACGCUCAGGCACGAAAGCGUGGGGAGCAAACAGG